CGUGUAGGCGGCCGAUCAAGUCGGAUGUGAAAUCUCUCGGCUCAACCGAGAAACUGCAUUCGAUACUGGUCAGCUAGAGUGCGAGAGGGGUGAGUGGAACUCCAGGUGUAGCGGUGAAAUGCGUAGAUAUCUGGAGGAACGCCGGUGGCGAAAGCGACUCACUGGCUCGCAACUGACGCUGAGGCGCGAAAGCUAGGGGAGCGAACG
rnacentral:rRNA from 1 species